AUUGAACGCUGGCGGAAUGCUUUACACAUGCAAGUCGAACGGCAGCACGGGUGCUUGCACCUGGUGGCGAGUGGCGAACGGGUGAGUAAUGUAUCGGAACGUAUCCAAUAAUGGGGGAUAACUAAUCGAAAGGUUGGCUAAUACCGCAUACGCCCUACGGGGGAAAGCAGGGGAUCUUCGGACCUUGCGUUAAUGGAGCGGCCGAUAUCUGAUUAGCUAGUAGUUGGGGUAAAGGCCCACCUAGGCGACGAUCAGUAGCUGGUCUGAGAGGACGACCAGCCACACUGGAACUGAGACACGGUCCAGACUCCUACGGGAGGCAGCAGUGGGGAAUUUUGGACAAUGGGGGCAACCCUGAUCCAGCCAUUCCGCGUGAGUGAAGAAGGCCUUCGGGUUGUAAAGCUCUUUCGCAAGGGAAGAAACGAUACAGUCGAAUAAACUGUGUUAAUGACGGUACCUUGAUAAGAAGCACCGGCUAACUACGUGCCAGCAGCCGCGGUAA
rnacentral:rRNA from 1 species